GAGGAAACCGCGCCCCAUGCCCCACGCCCCGAGUCCCAGGCCACCCCUUCCGUCAGCCCUGCAGGGUUCCCGGAUGUGCUUUCCCAACUUCCAUCUUGGGAGUCUGAACAUCGUGAGGCGUUUUGUGAGGAGACUCGACUCAGGUGCUCCAGGAACCAGGUAGUGACGAACUGGGUCUGAGUUGCACUUCCUAAAAGUCAGCACAGCAGAGGAGAUCCAGGCAGUGCCAGCAGUCAAGGUUACCAGGGGACAAACCCCUUAGGAAGACAGGCAACCUGUGAGGCCCUAGAGCACCACCUUACGAGAAGAGCUGUCUGUUGGAUCCCAUCAUCCAUAUCCCUGUUGAUAGGUUUACCUGCUGCUCCUGAAGAAGUUAUGUCUCCCCAUCCAUUCCCUAGCGAUGGGAAAGACCCCCAGAACCCAGGUGCCAUAGAGGACUCGGCAGAUGCAGAGAUUCCCUCAGAUGAGGAAGCUUCCUCCAUGUCCUCUUCCUAUACCUACUUAUUUCCACUUUCCCCCUCCUUACCCUCUUCUCCGAGUUCA